AUGAACGCUGGCGGCAGGCCUAACACAUGCAAGUCGAACGGUAGCGCAGAGGAGCUUGCUCCUUGGGUGACGAGUGGCGGACGGGUGAGUAAUGUCUGGGAAACUGCCCGAUGGAGGGGGAUAACUACUGGGGACGGUAGCUAAUACCGCAUAACGUCGCAAGACCAAAGAGGGGGACCUUCGGGCCUCUUGCCAUCGGAUGUGCCCAGAUGGGAUUAGCUAGUAGGUGGGGUAACGGCUCACCUAGGCGACGAUCCCUAGCUGGUCUGAGAGGAUGACCAGCCACACUGGAACUGAGACACGGUCCAGACUCCUACGGGAGGCAGCAGUGGGGAAUAUUGCACAAUGGGCGCAAGCCUGAUGCAGCCAUGCCGCGUGUAUGAAAGAAGGCCUUCGGGUUGUAAAGUACUUUCAGCGAGGAGGAAGGCAUUAAGGUUAAUAACCUUAGUGAUUGACGUUACUCGCAGAAGAAGCACCGGCUAACUCCGUGCCAGCAGCAGC
rnacentral:rRNA from 1 species